UACGUAGGGGCCUAGCGUUGUCCGGAUUUAUUGGGCGUAAAGAGCUCGUAGGCGGUUCGGCAAGUCGGAUGUGAAAUCUCCACGCUCAACGUGGAGGGGCCAUUCGAAACUGCUGUGACUUGAGUCCGGUAGGGGGGUGUGGAAUUCCCGGUGUAGCGGUGAAAUGCGCAGAUAUCGAGAGGAACACCUGCGGCGAAGGCGGGUUGCUGGGCCGACACUGACGCUGAUGCGCGAAAGCCAGGGGAGCGAACGGG
rnacentral:rRNA from 1 species